CCUACGGGAGGCUGCAGUGGGGAAUAUUGCGCAAUGGGCGAAAGCCUGACGCAGCCACGCCGCGUGAGCGAUGAAGGUCUUCGGAUCGUAAAGCUCUGUGGGGGGAGAAGAAGAAAGCCGGUGAAGAGUCGGCCCUGACGGUAUCCCCUUAGCAAGCACCGGCUAACUCCGUGCCAGCAGCCGCGGUAAUACGGAGGGUGCAAACGUUGCUCGGAAUCAUUGGGCGUAAAGCGCGCGUAGGCGGCUGGGCAAGUUGGAUGUGAAAGCCCUGGGCUCAACCCAGGAUGUGCAUUCAAAACUGCCCGGCUUGAGUCUCGGAGGGGGUCAGAGAAUUCCCGGUGUAGAGGUGAAAUUCGUAGAUAUCGGGAGGAACACCAGUGGCGAAGGCGCUGACCUGGACGAUGACUGACGCUGAGGCGCGAAAGCGUGGGGAGCAAACAGGAUUAGAUACCCGAGUAGUC
rnacentral:rRNA from 1 species